AUUGAACGCUGGCGGAAUGCUUUACACAUGCAAGUCGAACGGUAGAGGGGGCAACCCCUCGAGAGUGGCGAACGGGUGAGUAAUAUAUCGGAACGUGCCCAGUCGUGGGGGAUAACGUAGCGAAAGUUACGCUAAUACCGCAUACGAUCUAAGGAUGAAAGCGGGGGACUCGCAAGAGCCUCGCGCGAUUGGAGCGGCCGAUAUCAGAUUAGGUAGUUGGUGGGGUAAAGGCUCACCAAGCCAACGAUCUGUAGCUGGUCUGAGAGGACGACCAGCCACACUGGAACUGAGACACGGUCCAGACUCCUACGGGAGGCAGCAGUGGGGAAUUUUGGACAAUGGACGCAAGUCUGAUCCAGCCAUUCCGCGUGCAGGAUGAAGGCCCUCGGGUUGUAAACUGCUUUUGUACGGAACGAAAAGGUUUCUAUUAAUACUAGGAGCUCAUGACGGUACCGUAAGAAUAAGCACCGGCUAACUACGUGCCAGCAGCCGCCGUAA
rnacentral:rRNA from 1 species